UCCUUUCCCUCCUUUUUAAUCCUAAUCUUUAAUCUUGAUAUAUUAUAACAUUAAAUUUUUACAUAUUAAAAACCAAUUUUUCCAUAUUCUUUUAUACCAGUACAGCUAGAAACCACUUAACUUCAAUCCAACAUCAUUCUAACAUUCAUUAAUUUUGCAAUAUUUCUGUAAAUAGUCUUUAAAUUUCUUCCAAUCUUCUUCCACCGACUCUUCUCCCUGGUCUCGGAUUCUGCCAGUCAUUUCCGCCAAUUCCAUGUAGUCCAUCAAUUUCAUCUGCCAUUCCUCCAGUGUGGGUAAGUCUUGUGUCUUCCAAU
rnacentral:lncRNA from 1 species